AAGAACACGUAUGAGAGUAACUGUUCAUACGUUGACGGUAUUUAACCAGAAAGUCACGGCUAACUACGUGCCAGCAGCCGCGGUAAUACGUAGGUGGCAAGCGUUAUCCGGAUUUAUUGGGCGUAAAGAGAGUGCAGGCGGUUUUCUAAGUCUGAUGUGAAAGCCUUCGGCUUAACCGGAGAAGUGCAUCGGAAACUAGGAUAACUUGAGUGCAGAAGAGGGUAGUGGAACUCCAUGUGUAGCGGUGGAAUGCGUAGAUAUAUGGAAGAACACCAGUGGCGAAGGCGGCUACCUGGUCUGCAACUGACGCUGAGACUCGAAAGCAUGGGUAGCGAACAGGAUUAGAUACCCUGGUAG
rnacentral:rRNA from 1 species